CACUGUGAUUAAAAACUGGGGAGGCGGCACCAGAUUGAGCAGAGAAAGAUGUAGCAAAAGAUCGCCCAGUGCUGUCAGGAA